rnacentral:rRNA from 1 species
UACGUAGGUCCCGAGCGUUGUCCGGAUUUAUUGGGCGUAAAGCGAGCGCAGGUGGUUUAUUAAGUCUGGUGUAAAAGGCAGUGGCUCAACCAUUGUAUGCAUUGGAAACUGGUAGACUUGAGUGCAGGAGAGGAGAGUGGAAUUCCAUGUGUAGCGGUGAAAUGCGUAGAUAUAUGGAGGAACACCGGUGGCGAAAGCGGCUCUCUGGCCUGUAACUGACGCUGAGGAGCGAAAGCGUGGGGAGCGAACAGG